CAGAGUUGCAAAACUCCCUCAAACCAUCGCGAAUCUUACCCGUACGGUUGCCUCGGCGCUGGCGGUCCGGAAGGCCCUCGGGCCCCCCGGAUCCUCGGGUCUCCCGCUCGCGGGAGGCUGCCCGCCGGAGUGCCGAAACCAAACUCUUGAUAUUUUAUGUCUCUCUGAGUAAACUUUUAAAUAAGUCA
rnacentral:misc_RNA from 1 species